rnacentral:rRNA from 1 species
UCGGGAAUUUUGGGCAAUGGGCGAAAGCCUGACCCAGCAACGCCGCGUGAAGGAUGAAGUAUUUCGGUAUGUAAACUUCGAAAGAAUAGGAAGAAUAAAUGACGGUACUAUUUAUAAGGUCCGGCUAACUACGUGCCAGCAGCCGCGGUAAUACGUAGGGACCAAGCGUUGUUCGGAUUUACUGGGCGUAAAGGGCGCGUAGGCGGCAAUUCAAGUCAUCUGUGAAAUCUCUGAGCUUAACUCAGAACGGCCAAGUGAUACUGCAGUGCUAGAGUGCAGAAGGGGCAAUCGGAAUUCUUGGUGUAGCGGUGAAAUGCGUAGAUAUCAAGAGGAACACCUGAGGUGAAGACGGGUUGCUGGGCUGACACUGACGCUGAGGCGCGAAAGCCAGGGGAGCAAACGGGGAUUAGAUACCCAUGUAGUCCCUGAGCGGGCUGGCAAGGCGCAU